CGGGGCGGCCACGCCUGGGAGCAUCAUGGCGGCCUCCCCGGUGCGCUCUUGCCGCCGCCUGUUGGGACUGCGCUCCAGGGCUGCUGACUCCGGUGGGAGUGGCUGCCCCGCGGGUUUCAGCGGAUUCGGUAGUAAGCUCGCAGUGCAAGUGCUUUCCUACUUUCCUGUCCCCGAAGUUAUUUGCUUUGCUUUUCUUUCUUUUUUUUUUUUUUCUUUUUUUUUCCUUUUUUUUCGAUUUUAUUGAUUUAUUCAUGAGAGACCCGGAGAGAAGCAGGCUCCCCGGCCCGAGCCUGAUGCAGGACUUGAUCCCAGGACCCCAGGGUCCCCACCACCUGAGCCCAAGGCCGAUGCUCAACCACCGAGCCACUCCGGCGGCCUCGUCAUCCCUUCUUACCUCAGGAUUUCAUUUUGUUUCCUAAAGGAGACGAUUUGUUCGUUGCUGCUUACUGCCUCGUCCAACACCGGCGAACGAAUGUGUGGGGCCAAGAUGAGAAAGUACGAGGAAAGGAAGGCCGGGUCUUGGUAUCCCGCCUUCCUGACCGAAGAGCCUGUUUCCCUCCUUGGGUUGACUUUGAUUUGCUCUGUAGUGAAUUUCCUUUAUCAAGAGCUUCAUUUUGAAAUGGAUCUAACCUUGAGUACCUCCUCAUCACUUUCCUAUAUUAGUCAGUCUGACUUCAGAGAGGCACAUUUACAGGAGGUAAGAAGGAAGAGAAAGAAUCGCAAGCAAUUUGCGAUCAGAGAAAAGUCUCAAUUGAGAAGAAUGCAAAGACACAGUAGCAGAUACGAGUGAAUCGGGAAUGUGAAGAAUGUUGGCAAGUUGUACAGCUGCAAAUUUCAGUUUAAAUAAGGACUACAAUAUUGGGACUGGAUUCUGAUGGUGGAAACUGAAAUUCUGGCUACAUUAAGAACCUAAGGGAAGGUCUGUGAAAUUAGGACAAAGGAAUGUUGGACUUUCAAGAAAGAAAUUUAAAAAUCCUCUCAUAUAUGAAGAAAGCUGAAGGGCACCUGGCUGGCUCAGUGGUUGAGCAUCUGUCUUCUGCUCAGGUUGUGGUCCCGGGGGUCCUGGGAUCAAGUUCUGCAUCGGGUUCCCUGUGGGGAGCCUGCUUCUCCCUCUGCCUAUGUCUCUGCCUCUCUCUCUGUCUCCCAUGAAUAAAUAAAUAAAAUCUUUAUAAAAAUAUGAAGGA
rnacentral:lncRNA from 1 species